rnacentral:lncRNA from 1 species
UAUGCAUAUGAAUUUAUUUUGAAUUUUUCACAGUGUUUUAUGCAAUGAUUAUGAUGUUACUGUCUGAAAUCUGAUAAGAUGUCAAUCGAUACUAUGUCGAAAAUCAAAUAAUAUUUCAAUAAUCAUAUUUUGUACUUUUUGGUCCGUACUUUACUAAAAUUACAAAAGCGGGGAAGUCAGGACAAGACUGAAUUAUUUAAUGUUUAUACUUUUAUUUAUAUCGUUUUAGAUCAAAAUGAAAGCUUCAAACUUGAAUGCAUUUACUAGUAGAGCAUAUGUUGAUAAUGUUUUUUGUUAAUCUUAUUUCCGUCGUCUACUUUUUAGAUGUUAGCUUGUAGUGCUUUUUCUGAAUUUUUGUGUGCCAUCCAUAUUUGCAGUAAUUCAUUUUUAGCGAUUGAUGUUUAGUCUAUAACUUUUCCUUUUAUUGUUAUUGAACAGAUCCGAUAUUAAACUUUAUUUGUGUUUUAUAGAUUUGUAUUUAAGAAUUAAUGCUUCUUUUUGCAUUGGGGUGUAAAAGCCUUGUAUUCUAAAAAUGUGCACACGGUCUACGCCUUUACAACCCUAUAAAGUUACAAAAAGAAGAAUUAAUAUUUGUAAUUUUAUUUUUAGGUAGGAUCAUGAAAACACGAUUUUUAUCAAUUUUUUAUUUAAUUUACCUGUUACACUUUAUUGUGGGACCUCUUGUCAUCAUGAAUGGUAAAUUUUAUCGUGUAAAGAAGUUGAGAUUGCAGUGUAGCCAAUCAGAAUAACGUAUUAUAAUACAACAUACAUUUAAUGUAAUAAUUUCUAAAUGAUGUAUUGUUUUAGGUGUUUAACCUUUUGAUUGUAAAUGAUUAAGAAUACAAAUGGCAAUCGAUAGUUUUCUGUUCCUUUUUUAUGAAAAGUAUUAGACAUGUUUAUGCAUUGUAUAAUUUGUUUUACUUUACGUUUAUAUUUUAUAAUGAAUAAAUAAUACAACAGGACAUUU